UAUGGAUCGUCUCUCGCAUAUCAAUAAGCGGAGGAAAAGAAACUAACAAGGAUUCCCCUAGUAACGGCGAGUGAAGCGGGAAGAGCUCAAAUUUGAAAUCUUAAAGGGUUUCCCUUUACGAAUUGUAGUUUAAAGAAGUGUUUUCUGUUGAGGUUUUGGUAAAAGUUCUUUGGAAUAGGACAUCAUAGAGGGUGAGAAUCCCGUAUUUGACCUUUACUUUCAACUUUGUGAUACACUUUCAAAGAGUCGGAUUGUUUGGGAAUGCAGUCCAAAAUGGGUGGUAGAUUUCAUCUAAAGCUAAAUAUUGGCGAGAGACCGAUAGCGAACAAGUACCGUGAGGGAAAGAUGAGAAGAACUUUGAAAAGAGAGUUAAACAGUACGUGAAAUUGUCAAAAGGGAAGCGUUUGACACCAGUGUUGUUUUUCUGAAAAUCAAUUAAAGAACUGUUUAUGCUAAGUUGUUUAGACUUUAUCAGCUAACUGCUUAGUUUUGAGCUUUUCUUUAAUGCACUUUUCAGUUAACAAGUCAACAUCAAUUUCUUUUGCUGUAAAAAAGCUUGAGGAAGGUGGCUUGAGAUUCGUCUUAAGUGUUUAUAGCCUCUUGCCUAUGCAGUCGGAGAGAUUGAGGUCUGCAGCGUAGAUCCUUCGGGGCUAAAUGCAUUUGUGCUAAGUUAUAGCAUUUUAUAGACAACUUGUUGACUAUGAUUUGUCUUGUAGCUUACUCGCUUAUGUUAUUUUACCUACGCUUAGGAUGUUGAUCUACAGAGCGAGAGU
rnacentral:rRNA from 1 species